AGAGUUUGAUCCUGGCUCAGGAUGAACGCUGGCGGCGUGCUUAACACAUGCAAGUCGAACGAAGCACUUUAUUUGAUUUCCUUCGGGACUGAUUAUUUUGUGACUGAGUGGCGGACGGGUGAGUAACGCGUGGGUAACCUGCCUUGUACAGGGGGAUAACAGUUGGAAACGGCUGCUAAUACCGCAUAAGCGCACGGCAUCGCAUGAUGCAGUGUGAAAAACUCCGGUGGUAUAAGAUGGACCCGCGUUGGAUUAGCUAGUUGGUGAGGUAACGGCCCACCAAGGCGACGAUCCAUAGCCGACCUGAGAGGGUGACCGGCCACAUUGGGACUGAGACACGGCCCAAACUCCUACGGGAGGCAGCAGUGGGGAAUAUUGCACAAUGGGCGAAAGCCUGAUGCAGCGACGCCGCGUGAGCGAAGAAGUAUUUCGGUAUGUAAAGCUCUAUCAGCAGGGAAGAUAAUGACGGUACCUGACUAAGAAGCACCGGCUAAAUACGUGCCAGCAGCCGCGGUAAUACGUAUGGUGCAAGCGUUAUCCGGAUUCACUGGGUGUAAAGGGAGCGCAGGCGGUGCGGCAAGUCUGAUGUGAAAGCCCGGGGCUCAACCCCGGUACUGCAUUGGAAACUGUCGUACUAGAGUGUCGGAGGGGUAAGCGGAAUUCCUAGUGUAGCGGUGAAAUGCGUAGAUAUUAGGAGGAACACCAGUGGCGAAGGCGGCUUACUGGCCGAGACCGACGCUGAGGCGCGAAAGCUGGGGGAGCGAACAGGAUUAGAUACCCUGGUAGUCCACGCUGUAAACGAUGAAUACUAGGUGUGCGGGGACUGACCCCCUGCGUGCCGCAGUUAACACAAUAAGUAUUCCACCUGGGGAGUACGAUCGCAAGGUUGAAACUCAAAGGAAUUGGCGGGGGCCCGCACAAGCGGUGGAUUAUGUGGUUUAAUUCGACGCAACGCGAAGAACCUUACCAGGGCUUGACAUCCUACUAACGAAGUAGAGAUACACCAGGUGCCCUUCGGGGAAAGUAGAGACAGGUGGUGCAUGGUUGUCGUCAGCUCGUGUCGUGAGAUGUUGGGUUAAGUCCCGCAACGAGCGCAACCCCUAUUGUUAGUUGCUACGCAAGAGCACUCUAGCGAGACUGCCGUUGACAAAACGGAGGAAGGUGGGGACGACGUCAAAUCAUCAUGCCCCUUAUGUCCUGGGCUACACACGUAAUACAAUGGCGGUCAACAGAGGGAUGCAAAACCGUAAGGUGGAGCGAACCCCUAAAAGCCGUCUCAGUUCAGAUUGUGGGCUGCAACCCGCCCACAUGAAGUCGGAAUCGCUAGUAAUCGCGGAUCAGCAUGCCGCGGUGAAUACGUUCCCGGGCCGUGUACACACCGCCCGUCA
rnacentral:rRNA from 1 species